rnacentral:ncRNA from 1 species
UAGUCUCUUGGUGUGUGGAAGUUUUCGUUUGAGCUGACUUGGUCAGCGAGAAUCCAUCCCCUAAAGAGAGACUCUCUCCUACACCGUUGGCUUAUUAGGGCCGACUUUAACAGAACGGCCACUCGGG